UACGAGGGGGGCAAGUGUUGUUCGGAAUUACUGGGCGUAAAGGGAGCGUAGGCGGGCUCUUAAGUUGGAUGUUUAAAACCGGGGCCUAACCCCGGCGUGGCAUCCAAAACUGGGAGUCUUGAAUGGGACAGAGGCCAGUGGAAUUAGAGGUGUAGCGGUGGAAUGCGUAGAUAUCGGGAAGAACACCCGUGGCGAAGGCGGUUCUCUGGGACGGUACUGACGCUGAGACGCGAAAGCGUGGGGAGCGAACAGG
rnacentral:rRNA from 1 species